UACGGGGGGGCAAGCGUUGUUCGGAAUUACUGGGCGUAAAGGGUUCGUAGGUGGCCGACUAAGUCAGACGUGAAAUCCCUCAGCUCAACUGGGGAACUGCGUCUGAGACUGGCCGGCUUGAGUGCAGGAGAGGAACGCGGAAUUCCAGGUGUAGCGGUGAAAUGCGUAGAUAUCUGGAGGAACACCGGUGGCGAAGGCGGCGUUCUGGACUGCUACUGACACUGAGGAACGAAAGCCAGGGGAGCAAACGGG
rnacentral:rRNA from 1 species